CUGGCUAGUCCUAAACGGCUGCCUUCAGCCUUUUCGUUGGAUCGGCCAGAUCCUGAUCCGCUGGACUCUAAGAGUUCUUGCCUUGAAGACUUAAAUGAAUCUCUCUCUGUUUCCUCUUUCAUUUUGGGAUCACCUAAACUUGCACCGUACUUUAUAAUAGAAACAAUAACAAAAAGAAAAGGAAAUUCAUGUCGAAUCGACCCUGCACACACCCAUUAGAUUUGGUCGAGCUUGCCUGGAACUUUUUGAGUUUUGACUGGUUGGUUUUUUCCCAUUUCCUUUCGGUUUAAAUACAUGGACCAACCAGUCAAAAGCAGGAAAAUGUGAGCCAAAGACAGUGGAAUCUGCCCAUUCUUGACUGUCAGGAAAAUUGCAACGGUAAUUCAACCACAGGCAACAUAUACCAAUAUAAUAUAUAUGCUAUUUUUGACUCCCAAUGAAGUCCAAUUAGCAUCUCAUGAUUUAGAUUAAUCCAGCUCACCGAGAGUAGAAGAAAUUCAGGAUAGAGGAGGAUGGAACAUGAUAUUUAUCCCAUCAUGGGAGAGGAGGAAAAGGGGGAUUUCUGACAGUAUUUUAGUUCAAGAAAGAAGUGGGGGGGAGGGGGGGGGGGGGUUGUUAACAACAAAUUUCUAAUUUACUCUCUAUUCAAUGCAGGCUAGAAUGGUUUGUGCAGAGAUGCUGUGGCUUCUGUUCCAAGCUUGCUUCUUCUCCACCGUUGUCCCGAAGAACCAGAUGCAAUUAUUUCUACUAACUGCAUUCGAAACUCUGAAGCACCAUUUUACUGAGCAAGACAGUUGCAUAGAUACAGUUAUAACAAAAAUUCUCAUACAAACCAGCCCCGAGCCACAGUUUUUUUCUUCUUUCAUUUCUUUUCUCUUCUCAACUUACAUGUUGCAACGAGCACGAGACGGGCUAUAUGGUGUCAACCUUAACUCUCUCAUUUUCAGUCUUGUGCAUUGUCAGCACAUAGUUUGACGGCUGUGACCUUCUUUCAAACAUGUAAUAUCAACACGACUCUCGAAUCCCUUGGAAGAGAGUGUUGACCAUCAUGGCAAGAUGGUUAAAUUUAGAGUGCCGGAUAGAGUGCUGUAAAUAUAAAAGCAGACUGGUUUGGUUGUGCAAUAAAAUAAUGUGAAACAUUGAU